rnacentral:lncRNA from 1 species
GCGUACUCAGUGACAGCUCUGUCUAGCAACAGUGGCCGAAUGUUUCCGACAGAAGGUGGCUGGAUUCUGCAUUGUAAAAUAGAGUAUUGAAAGGAAGCGUGUAGCUAAGACCUCCUGAAAAGAGAUUAUUGAUUGAAAGAAGAGAGCUAGACCUGUGACUUGGAAAAGCCAACAUCCAGUGAGUGAGUGUGUCUGUUCCUGAAACUAAUAAUUGAAACAACCAAUCUGCAGAAAAACUCUUGCUUGGUUUUUGUCUAAGGGGGAUCUAGGGUGGAGCUGAGAAGGCCUACCUUCAAUAUUAAUCAUGUGGGGAAGAAUAUGACCUUGAGUACUGUAUAAAUGCUAUUUUCUAACCGUGGGGUGUGUAUAUUUCCCCUUAACAGAUGGAUUCCUAGAGACUCAAGAAUGCCAACAACCUACCUUAAGCCCAUAUACAACAUACACGGUCCCCCAAACAUAUUAGGAGAAUGUUGACUUUUGUCAUUGACACCUUCUUACCUUCUCUGUCAGUCCUUCCCACCACUAUCUUGACACCCCUCCCCUCUUAGAAUUAGUGGCUUCACAAGAAAAACAUAUCCCAGUUACUUAUCACAUUUGAUUAAACACCUCACCCUGAAGUGUAAAUAUCUCAGUGGCUCCUCCUUUUGCAGAGAUAUUUGCACCCUUUAGCUCUAUACAACCCUCUCAAACAGUGGAAUUUCAGCUAUCAGAGAACGGCAGAUAAGGUGGAUAUUUUGGGAAGGAGGACUUCCCCAAAGUCUAUUUCUCAAAUCAAAUCACUUUGGGACAAUUAUGACAGUGAUUUAUUAAAGUAAAAAGGCUAUUACUUUGUUCUUGCCACAUAAAAUGUCUCUGGGGGGAAUUCCAAAGUCAAGAAUGAUCUGUUUGUGAAGUAAUCCUAGUAACGUGUGGAAUUUUCAUAGUGAUUUUUUUUUCUUGCAAAAGCUAAAUGUUGAAGAAAAAUGCAGGAAACUGGCAAUUAGAAUUAAGAAAAAUAAUUUUGUAUUAGAUUAUAUUGCUGUUCUCAAUUAUUCAUGCCUCCUUGGCCUGUAAGAAUAUGUACCAUCAUCUGUUGCUAUGUGAUUUCUGUGCUUUUCCAAGGGAG